GAUGAAGAACGCAGCGAAAUGCGAUAAGUAAUGUGAAUUGCAGUAUUCAGUGAAUCAUCGAAUCUUUGAACGCACAUUGCGCCCUUUGGCAUUCCGAAGGGCACACCUGUCCGAGCGCCGUCGCACAACUGAGGCGCAGCCUUGCGUUGGCGGGCGACUUGUGAGUAGCGAGUCGCCGCCCAAACGAGACGGCGCCGCGCCGCGGCCGACGAAGCACGAAAGCGGAAGUCGACGCGGAGGCGGUUGCCUGUAGGAAGACACAGCUUGGCCUCGGAUCAGGUGGGGAUACCCGCUGAACUUAAGCAUAUCAAUAAGCGGAGGA
rnacentral:misc_RNA from 1 species